AGUAACGCGUGGAUAACCUGCCUCACACUGGGGGAUAACAGUUAGAAAUGACUGCUAAUACCGCAUAAGCGCACAGUACCGCAUGGUACAGUGUGAAAGACUCCGGUGGUGUGAGAUGGAUCCGCGUCUGAUUAGCCAGUUGGCGGGGUAACGGCCCACCAAAGCGACGAUCAGUAGCCGACCUGAGAGGGUGACCGGCCACAUUGGGACUGAGACACGGCCCAA
rnacentral:rRNA from 1 species